AUUAAAUUGCCGAGUUUGCCUUGCAAACUAAAUUAUUAUAUGCCGUUUCUCAUUGCAUUACGAAACGGCUGGAAUUCAUCAAUGCUAGAUUUUUGAUAAAAUCUGCGCUUGAUGAAUUUAUAG
rfam:Treponema pedis str. T A4, complete genome.